GAUUGCUUUCCCUUGAUUGAAAUAAGUAGAAAAAGUGUAUUUUGAACUAAGAAUAUUGAUUUAAGUAUUAAAGGAAGGUGAGCUCAAUAUUCUAAAGCAAAUGACUGGACAGGGAUGAAAAGUAAGAAAGAAUCCAGAAGUAAAUUAUUUGUCAUGUGACAAGAGAACCAAAGAGCUUGAAGUAAAGAGAAAUAUGUACAGAUGUGUAAACAGGCUGGCAAUUGAGAAAAAAAACCCUUCUUUUGGUUGAGUUCUACUGUAUUUGAAUAUUAUUGUAGUUUUUUUCCCUUUGCAUUGUUCUUCUUUGGAUGGUUUUAAUUUUUAAUUUUUUGUAUAUGUGUGUGUGUUUGAUAAUAAAAUUACUUUAUUUUAUUUUAUUUUAUGUUUUAAAAAGUCCUCCCCCUCACUUGGAACACACCCAUCCCAUGUUCUUGCCACUUCCUGAAGCAGCUCUGGAGUCCUCUUUCCUGGGCGUCUAUAGUUGUGCUAUCCUAGCUGCCUCGAUGUCCUGAAUGGAUUCAAAACGGUUCCCUGUCAUGGUCAUUUUGACUUUGGGGAAGACCUGGAAGUCACAUAGUGCCGGAUCCAGUGAUUAAGGACAGGAAGGAAAUUCUGCUGGCUUCUAGAGGAUACAGGCCAAGGAGGCUGGGUGAAGGGAAGAAAGAGAAAAGAAAAAAAAGAGAAUAGAAGGAAACAAAUGGAAACAAAACUUUUCUGCUACUGUGCACAGCACGAGCUCGAUUCUCAAAGUUGAAUGAUGGAAAGAAUAAUGCAGAAUGAAGGAAUGGGCAGACAUACACUAGUUCAACACAGGUACCAUCCUCUGGUCCUUGUCGCGACAUCAAAAGAUUGCUUCUGAUGACUUUUAAACAUAGGGCUCAAAAUUUCCAGCCCAGAAUAGUUUUCAGAGCUUUCCUUUGCAAUCCACCCAAAUCUUCAAACCAGCUCUGGCCAGCAAGCCUCAGGCAAGCAAAGUAUCAUUGAACUCCUUAAGGAACUGCGUUUCUUUUGACCAACACAUUCCUUCAGAAUAACACAAGAGACUCUGUCUAGCCCUCUGGGAGUACAAAAAGAGAACAAAAAGAGGGCUAGUUUUGAUAGUGACAGCAGUCACACACCUAUAGACUUAAACACAUGUGCCAGUAAUUAUUAAACAGUUUUUCUCUUUUAAGCAAUAGCCAAAAGAUAGGUAAAGAGAGGGAUAGAAGCAUUCUUUGAGGGAUUUAUGGAAGCAUGAGCAAAGUUUUCCAAACCUAGUAUAGGAUAUAAGCAAGCAAAUCAUAGUGUUUUUAAGAGCUUCUCCCCUUGCUGGCUUUAGGCAAAGUGCUGCUGUAGCUGAUCCUCAAUGGAGCUCAGUUUUGCGCACUGUGACUCCUCUACUUCAAUCUGAACUCCUUGGGGAUUAUUCUAAAGAUGCCAGCGAGGCAGCAUAAUCAUACCUCUGCAAGCUACUGCUCCUU
rnacentral:lncRNA from 1 species